GUAGGUGAACCUGCGGAAGGAUCAUUAAAAAUCCAUAACAACCCGUUGAAUCGUUUGCUUUUCCUUGGAAAAGGGACCCAUCUUGUCUUGAGAAAAACUAGCUUUUUCGAGAGGUAGGAUGGAAGGAAAGAGGAAUAUUACUGCUCUUUGUGGUGAUGAUGAAAACUAGAGGUUAUCACAUUGGGUGAUGGUUCUUGGGCUUUCUCACCUGACACACUCAAAGCUGCUCCUAUAUAGGCGCAUCUUUGCA
rnacentral:misc_RNA from 1 species